UGCUGACCAGGUGUCUGCACUGUGUUCAGCAUCAAUAUGGUGAUCUCCUGGGAGCAGGGGGCCACUGGGUUGCCUAAGGAUGAGUGAACUGGCCCAGAUCAGAAAGGUAGUCGAUCAGAACUCCCGCACCGAUGGGUAAUGGGACUAUGCCUGGGCA
rnacentral:sRNA from 1 species